AUUGAACGCUGGCGGCAUGCUUUACACAUGCAAGUCGGACGGCAGCACAGAGAAGCUUGCUUCUUGGGUGGCGAGUGGCGAACGGGUGAGUAACAUAUCGGAACGUACCGAGCAGUGGGGGAUAACUAAUCGAAAGAUUAGCUAAUACCGCAUAUUUUCUGAGGAAGAAAGCAGGGGACCAUUUGGCCUAGCGCUGUUUGAGCGGCCGAUAUCUGAUUAGCUAGUUGGUGGGGUAAAGGCCUACCAAGGCGACGAUCAGUAGCGGGUCUGAGAGGAUGAUCCGCCACACUGGGACUGAGACACGGCCCAGACUCCUACGGGAGGCAGCAGUGGGGAAUUUUGGACAAUGGGCGCAAGCCUGAUCCAGCCAUGCCGCGUGUCUGAAGAAGGCCUUCGGGUUGUAAAGGACUUUUGUCAGGGAAGAAAAGGGCGGGGUUAAUACCUCUGUCUGAGGACGGGACCUGAAGAAUAAGCACC
rnacentral:rRNA from 1 species